UACGUAGGCAGCAAGCGUUGUUCGGAAUUACUGGGCGUAAAGAGUGUGUAGGUGGUGUCGUAAGUUUGGUGUGAAAUCUCCCGGCUUAACUGGGAGGGUGCGUCGAAGACUGCGAUGCUGGAGUAUGGGAGAGGAAAGCGGAAUUCCUGGUGUAGCGGUGAAAUGCGUAGAUAUCAGGAGGAACACCUGCGGUGUAGACGGCUUUCUGGACCAUUACUGACACUGAGACACGAAAGCGUGGGUAGCAAACAGG
rnacentral:rRNA from 1 species